CCUACGGGAGGCAGCAGUGAGGAAUAUUGGUCAAUGGGCGAGAGCCUGAACCAGCCAAGUCGCGUGAGGGAGUACUGCCCUAUGGGUUGUAAACCUCUUUUGUCGGGGAGCAAAAGCCGGACGUGUCCGGCUGUGAGAGUACCCGAAGAAAAAGCAUCGGCUAGCUCCGUGCCAGCAGCCGCGGUAAUACGGAGGAUGCGAGCGUUAUCCGGAUUUAUUGGGUUUAAAGGGUGCGCAGGCGGAUUUUUAAGUCAGCGGUAAAAUCGUGGGGCUCAACCCCAUCCAGCCGUUGAAACUGGGGAUCUAGAGUGUGCGAGAGGUAUGCGGAAUGCGUGGUGUAGCGGUGAAAUGCAUAGAUAUCACGCAGAACCCCGAUUGCGAAGGCAGCAUACCGGUGCACAACUGACGCUCAGGCACGAAAGCGUGGGUAUCGAACAGGAGUAGAUACCCCAGUAGUC
rnacentral:rRNA from 1 species